CGGGGCGUGGCGCAGCCUGGUAGCGCGCCUGCUUUGGGAGCAGGAUGUCGCAGGUUCGAAUCCUGCCGCCCCGA
rnacentral:tRNA from 3 species